rnacentral:misc_RNA from 1 species
UCCGAUUUGUCACCGGCAGUCUCCCAUGAGUCCCCGACAUUACUCGCUGGCAACAUGGGACAGGGGUUGCGCUCGUUGCGGGACUUAACCCAACACUUCACAGCACGAGCUGACGACAGCCAUGCACCACCUGUGCUAGCUCUCGACUUGACGAGUCCAUCCCCUUUCGGUUCAGUACUUCUAGCAUGUCAAGCCUAGGUAAGGUUCUUCGCGUUGCGUCGAAUUAAACCACAUGCUCCACCGCUUGUGCGGGCCCCCGUCAAUUCCUUUGAGUUUCAGUCUUGCGACCGUACUCCCCAGGCGGCGAACUUAACGCGUUAGCUUCGAUACUGGGCACCAAGUUGUGCCCAACAUCCAGUUCGCAUCGUUUAGGGCGUGGACUAC